rnacentral:rRNA from 1 species
GCUGCAUGGCCGUCGUCAGCUCGUGUUCGUGAGAUGUUGGGUUAAGUUCCCGCAACGAGCGCAACCCCUGCCGUUAGUUGCCAGCGGGUCGAGCCGGGCACUCUAACGGGACUGCCUGCGAAAGCAGGAGGUAAGCGGGGACGACGUCUGGUCAUCAUGGCCCUUACGGCCUGGGUGACACACGUGCUACAAUGCUAAGUACAGAGCGAGGCGACCUGGUGACGGGGAGCGAAUCGCAGAAAGGUGGGCGUAGUUCGGAUUGGGGUCUGCAACCCGACCCCAUGAAGCCGGAAUCGCUAG